rnacentral:rRNA from 1 species
UACAGAGGGGGCAAGCGUUAUUCGGAAUUACUGGGCGUAAAGCGCGCGUAGGCGGACCUGCAAGUCGGGGGUGAAAGCCCGAGGCUCAACCUCGGAACUGCCUUCGAUACUGCGGGUCUCGAGUCCGGGAGAGGUGAGUGGAAUUCCUAGUGUAGAGGUGAAAUUCGUAGAUAUUAGGAAGAACACCAGUGGCGAAGGCGGC